rnacentral:rRNA from 1 species
AUUGAACGCUGGCGGCAGGCCUAACACAUGCAAGUCGAGCGGAGCGGCGGACGGGUGAGUAAUGCCUAGGAAUCUGCCUGGUAGUGGGGGAUAACGUCCGGAAACGGGCGCUAAUACCGCAUACUAUCAGAUGAGACUAGUUAGGAUGAGCUAGGUGGGGGGGUAAAGGCCUACAACGGCGACGAUCCGUAACUGGGCUGAGAGGAUGAUCAGUCACACUGUAACUGAGACACGGUCCAGACUCCUACGGGAGGCAGCAGUGGGGAAUAUGGCACAAUGUGCGCAAGCCUGAUGCAGCCAUGCCGCGUGUAUGAAGAAGGCCUUCGGGUUGUAAAGUACUUUCAGCGGGGAGGCGUUACCCGCAGAAGAAGCACCGGCUAACUCCGUGCCAGCAGCCGCGGUAAUUC